AACGUAGGAGACAAACGUUAUCCGGAGUUACUGGGCGUAAAGGGCGUGUAGGUGGUUUCGUAAGUCUGGCGUGAAAUUUUUCGGCUUAACCGGGAAAGGUCGUCGGAUACUGCGGAACUAGAGGACGGUAGAGGCGUGUGGAAUUCCGGGUGUAGUGGUGAAAUGCGUAGAGAUCCGGAGGAACACCAGUGGCGAAGGCGACACGCUGGGCCGUACCUGACACUGAUGCGCGACAGCAGUGGGGAGCAAACGAGG
rnacentral:rRNA from 1 species